rnacentral:rRNA from 1 species
AGAGUUUGAUCCUGGCUCAGAUUGAACGCUGGCGGCAUGCCUUACACAUGCAAGUCGAACGGCAGCACGGGAGCAAUCCUGGUGGCGAGUGGCGAACGGGUGAGUAAUACAUCGGAACGUGUCCUGGAGUGGGGGAUANNNNGCGAAAGCCGGAUUAAUCCGCAUCGCUCUGAGGAGGAAAGCGGGGGAUCGCAAGACCUCGCGCUCAAGGGGCGGCGAUGGCAGAUUAGCUAGUUGGUGGGGUAAAGGCCUACCAAGGCGACGAUCUGUAGCUGGUCUGAGAGGACGACCAGCCACACUGGGACUGAGACACGGCCCAGACUCCUACGGGAGGCAGCAGUGGGGAAUUUUGGACAAUGGGGCAAGCCUGAUCCAGCAAUGCCGCGUGUGUGAAGAAGGCCUUCGGGUUGUAAAGCACUUUUGUCCGGAAAGAAAACCUUUGCCCUAAUACGGCGGGGGGAUGACGGUACCGGAAGAAUAAGCACCGGCUAACUACGUGCCAGCAGCCGCGGUAAUACGUAGGGUGCAAGCGUUAAUCGGAAUUACUGGGCGUAAAGCGUGCGCAGGCGGUCCGUUAAGACAGAUGUGAAAUCCCCGGGCUUAACCUGGGAACUGCAUUUGUGACUGGCGGACUCGAGUAUGGCAGAGGGGGGUAGAAUUCCACGUAGCAGUGAAAUGCGUAGAGAUGUGGAGGAAUCCGAUGGCGAAGGCAGCCCCCUGGGCCAAUACUGACGCUCAUGCACGAAAGCGUGGGGACAAACAGGAUUAGAUACCCUAGUAGUCC